rnacentral:lncRNA from 1 species
UAUGAGGAAAGCAAUAUGCAACUCAAUAUGAAAACUUUUUUCUUCUCAAACCAACGAGAUGUUGAAAAUUUUAGAGAACCGAUCCCUCAUCAUAACUUAUACUAGAAUAAGAAAGACUAAAGCAGACCAAACAUGUCUAAAAAAAGUGCAAGAUAAAAAGACACGGUUAAAGAUUCACCUUAAGAAAACCACAAAUUUUCGAUAUGUUGUCCCA